AUCGCUGAGGGACAGCCUGGCAAACAUGCCCUUGCCCCGCCGCCUGCCAACCAGUUCAGCACGCGCAGGGGAUGGAAUCUUCCUCCAAGAAGGAACAGCUCUUCAGUCGUGUCCUGACAGUGCGUGGGCUCCGGAAACAGGGCAGGGCCCGGGCUGACGCUGGACCUGUCGUCUUCCAGCCUGGCAGCCUCCCGCCGUGCACUGCAAUACCGAUCUGUCCUCGUCCUCAGCCUUCUCACAUGCCCAGGCGGCUCGGGUUCCCGGGAGGCACUUUCUGGCACAUUCCACCAGGUGCUCAUGCUCCAACCUACCCCAGCCAGCACCACGAGGUGGGGCGUGUAGUCGUUUCUCAGGCGGGAAUUAAGUCCCUCUCCAGAGAUCUUUGCUGUAUUUUUGUGGCGCUGAGGCAGUGGAGACCAACUGUGUUUUCCGGGUAAGCAGCCUCAGGGGUCACCUCCCGGAGAAGCGGUUCCGGGUCAGGACGCGGUUCGAGGUUCAGGCGUUCGCGCCGACUCUGUGCCUUCCUCCGUGAGCCUGCGUGCGGGACCUCGCCGGACAUGCCCGCCGCGUGCGGACCUUUACCACCCGCACGCACGCGGUGCUCUCGCCACCUGGCCGCCACCCGGAAGAGACCUGUGCUUUUGGAGAACCCAGUUGGUAUGCGUGAGAAGCCCUAGCCAUAUGGAGAGGUCAUGUGUUGACGCCAGUCAGUUGCCUCAGUGAAGACCAGCCUUUGAAUCACUACAGCCAUCCCAUGAGACAUUAAGUGAAGAAGCCUCCAGAUGAUUACAGCCUUUAACUAUAUCAGGAAAAACAUUUUGUGCCCUACCUUUAUUGAGAGAUUAUUUUUAAAUGAUUGAAGAAGACAGGGAGAGACUGUACUCCUGA